rnacentral:rRNA from 1 species
CUAGCGGCAGGCCUAACACAUGCAAGUCGAGGGGUAACAGGGAGCUUGCUCCGCUGACGACCGGCGCACGGGUGCGCAACGCGUAUGCAAUCUACCUCUUACUAAGGGAUAGCCCAGAGAAAUUUGGAUUAAUAUCUUAUGUGAUAUGUGACUGGCAUCGGUUACAUAUUAAAGGUUACGGUAAGAGAUGAGCAUGCGUCUCAUUAGUUAGUUGGUAAGGUAACGGCUUACCAAGACUUCGAUGAGUAGGGGUCCUGAGAGGGAGAUCCCCCACACUGGUACUGAGACACGGACCAGACUCCUACGGGAGGCAGCAGUGAGGAAUAUUGGACAAUGGACGGAAGUCUGAUCCAGCCAUGCCGCGUGUAGGAAGACUGCCCUAUGGGUUGUAAACUACUUUUAUACAGGAAGAAUAAGAUCUACGUGUAGAUUGAUGACGGUACUGUAAGAAUAAGGACCGGCUAACUCCGUGCCAGCAGCCGCGGUAAUACGGAGGGUCCGAGCGUUAUCCGGAAUUAUUGGGUUUAAAGGGUCCGUAGGCGGGCUGUUAAGUCAGAGGUGAAAUGCUGCGGCUCAACCGUAUGCACUGCCUUUGAUACUGGCGGUCUUGAGUUAUAGUGAAGUGGCUAGAAUAAGUAGUGUAGCGGUGAAAUGCAUAGAUAUUACUUAGAAUACCGAUUGCGAAGGCAGGUCACUAACUAUACACUGACGCUGAUGGACGAAAGCGUGGGUAGCGAACAGGAUUAGAUACCCUGGUAGUCCACGCCGUAAACGAUGGAUACUAGCUGUUCGGUUUUCGGACUGAGCGGCCAAGCGAAAGUGAU